AAGAUGAUAAUUUACUAUACUGCAGCUUGAAAACCAUUUUAUUCUUGGAAUGCCUUCUAUGCUUGGUUGUUCAAAUGAAGGGGAAGACAGUGGAAGUGGUCGAGAGGAAAAACGUUCUCCACACAAGAACACCGACAAAGUCAACAAGAAGUUUCUAUGGAACCAUGGAUUAACACCUCCACUAAAGAAUGUGAGAAAAUGAAGGUUCAGAAAAACAGCCAAGAAAUAGUACAUAGAAUCACCAGAUAUUGAGAAAGAAGUGAAAAGACUACUAAGAAUGGACAGCACAGCUAUCAGAGUCCGUAUCCUUUCAUCCGUUUUAUACUAUUUUGAGGAAUUUUAUCUGUUGUUUAAAUUGUGAGUAGCAGCAGUUAUUUAAUUAACAUUUGAGGCUUGUCAUCCUAAAACCAGCAAACUGUCAGUAAAUGAGUAAUUAGCAAAGAAUGUGUCAGUAUUGUGUACUUUAGUACAGAGAAGCUGUAAUACUUUUAUUCAUAACUUUAGUAAUAGUGAGUCGAUUCCAGUAAACGACCCAUCAUUUUAAAGAUUACAAUGUGGAGAAUAAAAAUAUAUUAACAAGUCAAUUUUUUUUUUGUGGUCAUGGUGCUGGUUUUGUCAUGUCUUAACAUAACAGUCAUAUAAACUGUCAGCCAUAUUUAAAAAAAAUCCUUAAUAAUAAUUUUUUUAA
rnacentral:misc_RNA from 1 species